rnacentral:rRNA from 1 species
UACUCGAGUGGCGAACGGGUGAGUAACACGUGGGUGAUCUGCCCUGCACUUCGGGAUAAGCCUGGGAAACUGGGUCUAAUACCGAAUAGGAGCCAUUUUUAGUGUGAUGGUUGGAAAGUUUUUUCGGUGUAGGAUGAGCUCGCGGCCUAUCAGCUUGUUGGUGGGGUAAUGGCCUACCAAGGCGGCGACGGGUAGCCGGCCUGAGAGGGUGGACGGCCACAUUGGGACUGAGAUACGGCCCAG